UACGUAGGGUGCGAGCGUUGUCCGGAAUUAUUGGGCGUAAAGGGCUCGUAGGCGGUUUGUCGCGUCGGGAGUGAAAACACUGGGCUUAACUCAGUGCUUGCUUCCGAUACGGGCAGACUAGAGGUAUUCAGGGGAGAACGGAAUUCCUGGUGUAGCGGUGAAAUGCGCAGAUAUCAGGAGGAACACCGGUGGCGAAGGCGGUUCUCUGGGCCUGUCCUGACGCUGAGGCGCGAAAGCUAGGGGAGCGAACAGG
rnacentral:rRNA from 1 species